UGAUAUUCUAGAUGGGAUGUCGUUAGCGUUACAUUAGAACCGUCCCAUCAUUGAAUUGCUGCUUGGGGUUAAAGCCUUGUGCGGCGCAGAGACUUCUCCUCCCCGAUCAAUAGGGGCUCAUUUAAAGACACAGACGAGGAGUCUGUGUUAGUAGUGAAGGGGGGUGGGGAUUAUCGGAACACAGAUAUAGGACCACACAGUGGAGUGUUAAAAGUAGUACUGGACCAGGAACUCAUAGCACCAUUAUCGGCGAUUUGGAGCAAAUACAGCUCAACCACAACAAUGCAGACCACUGUUUUAACCAUUAUUACGCUCGCCGUUGAAAUGUACCGUUUGAAGACCUCAUCCUCAUGGUAGAAACAGGCGUUUCUGUUUCUACAACGAACGUGACGGCAACAAAAUAAAAGCAGGGCGUGUGGGCUUCAACAGGGCCUUGGGGGCCUAAUUACCGUUCUGGGUUGGAUGUAGCCACUAGUGCAAGCCGCCAGCUGAGUUUAGCUGAGAUCUGUCAUUCUGUUUAACAAGGCUUAAAAUAGACAUGGCUAUUCCCCUCGUGAGUCUCCACCAGACGACCAAAGCCCAGCCCAUCUGCACAGUGGCUGGCCAUCUUUGAAUCAGUCUGCCUCGCAGACUUUAUUUUAAAAGGGUCCUGCUGCCGCAAUAUGUUGGACAUGGAUACGCAGACCAGUGACGCAUGGUAACAAUUCCAUAUACACGCUAAGCUCCCCCAUCAAACCCCCAUACUGUGCUCUCACCUGUCUGUAACUCACACAAGUAAAAGGCUGGAAAUAACAUUGCCAGUCAAAAGUUGGCAAUUCCAUACAAUACAGUCCGACACUGUAAAUUCAAACCAAUUCGUUGUUUAAAAAAAUAAAUAAUAAUUAUAUAUAUGUUUUGUUUUUCUCCAUGAUAGCAGUUUGAAAGCGAGUAGGCGUGGAGGAGUGGGCAGAACAGUUGGCAGGGGGACGGCAGGGUUGGCAGGGCUGUGCGCUGGUAGUUAAUAUCAUUCAGCAGCAAUGAAACUGUCAGUGUGGGAGUCAGAAAGCCAAGCGUGAAGACAUUUAUAGAGUGUUUUUAAUUCCCCUACCGCCCCCUCAACCAUCCCAGCAAGCGUUAAAACAUCCGAAAUUGUCCCUUUCCAAAUAAAUGUAUCACUUUACUGUCGGUUAUCACAAUGACUUUCCGUUACAUGUGUUUGUCGGGGCACUAUACCAAAAAGAUUGAUUCGAUAUUACAAAUAAAUCGACAUUUAGGUAAUAUCAUCCAUGUCUGUGCAAUGCCCGGCCUAACGUGGUUAAAAGGGCCGGUGCUGAUAGAGAAGGGUGCCACAACGGCCUGCUUUCUGUUCCGUCCCUUAUCGAUUGUCAAGCCAAACACACACACGCAAGGUUAAAAAGUUCAACAGCUAGCCAGCCAACAAAUAGAGCGCCAGUCAUUUCAAUAACCACAGCAUGCUUGAUGAGCCCUGUGAAUAAACCCGGCUGGGCCUGGCUAGCAGCAGUUCAGGUAUUGAUUGGUGGAACGACAGCGGCACCCGGCUCUUACUGCUUCACAUUGAUGGAUCCACAGCAGAGCUCGUUCUCAGAGGACAGCGCCAGCUGGUUCGCCAACAGAGACCGGGGGGGGAUUUUAGGUCAGCUGAACGAACAGCGACAGGGCCCAUCUUUAAUCUUAAAAAGGAAGCCCAACUGUAACACCGACUUCAACUAGCUAACAUUAUCUAAUGACAUUCCCUUUACUAGACACCUCCAAUCAAAGAGGCUAGACUCAGCCGUGUGUACUUUCACUUGUAUUGGUGGCCCUUGGCAAUCGGCAUUGCCAUGACAAUCGGCAUUGCCAUGACAAUCAGUGGCGUCGGACUGAGGGCAAAGGGGUGCGGAGUAUAUAGGGCCCUAACAUGUAGAGGGGUCCUCGAAAAUGUUUGAAUCUUGAAUAAAGAUGGGAGGGGGCCCUCAGAGACCACCUAUGUACAAGGCCCAGAAUUCUGUGCUACACCCCUGAUGACGAUAGACAGGUCAGGACGAGACCCCCCCCCCCCCCACAUCACACAACAGGGUCAAGUAUAAUCCGUAGUAGUAGUCAACUAGUCAAGGUUUGUUGUGAAGCUAUUGUGUAGUCAACUGUUGUGUAGUCAACUAGUCAAGGUUAAACUGCUGCUAAAUAGCAGCAGUUUAUCCCUAAAAAUAACAAAAAGGGACUGUAUAAAACUAGAAAACCCAGAAUACCCAACAAAAAAUACCAUUAUUUAUUUUCCUUGUAUAUGUGCAUCUUAAGCCCAUCCUCAGGGAAAGCUCUUUGAGCAGUGCCAUGCAGACCAGCUCUCAUUGCGUCGCAAUUACUUCCUGCCGGGUCCAAUCUUGAAUCUGCCACCGCAGUGUCAACUACAAAUGUGUUGUCCUGCUGGAGCAGCAGAGAUACAGCGGCCAGAUAGCCAUCUCUACUACUGCCACAUCCCCAUCCCAGACCAGCCCAGGUCCGUGACUGCUGAUGGGAGAUAUCCAACCCGACCCCGGGCUGUUUGUGGUGGGGAAGAUGGCCUUACUUACCACCUCCCUGGUCGUCCCGGGAUCCCCAGAGAGCAUCAGGUUCUCAGCACACAGUGAAAUAGAUAGCACCGUUUUAGGCUGUUUGAUGAGUGGUGGGAGAAUUCCAUAUUCCCUUUCCUGCUUGGCUGUUCCCCGCUUAGGCUCUCCCCUUUCCCCUAGCAUCAUCGACAGCUCUCUCUAAGGAGGAAGAGAAGCUGAGGGCUUUGGGGGGAGCUGAUCCAAAGGUUAUCUUGAUCUGUCAGCAGUGUUGAAGUGAAGACUACAUGUUCAAGUGCAAACGAAAUCAACGGGGCACAUGGCAGCACAUGGCAGCCCGGUGACCCAGGACACGGCAUCCAGAAUCUGCUGCGCUGAGACCCGGAUCUGAC